rnacentral:rRNA from 1 species
AAUCCAUAGGUUAAUGAGGCGAACCGGGGGAACUGAAACAUCUAAGUACCCCGAGGAAAAGAAAUCAACCGAGAUUCCCCCAGUAGCGGCGAGCGAACGGGGAGGAGCCCAGAGCCUGAAUCAGCAUGUGUGUUAGUGGAAGCGUCUGGAAAGGCGCGCGAUACAGGGUGACAGCCCCGUACACAAAAGCGCAUGUGCUGUGAGCUCGAUGAGUAGGGCGGGACACGUGGUAUCCUGUCUGAAUAUGGGGGGACCAUCCUCCAAGGCUAAAUACUCCUGACUGACCGAUAGUGAACCAGUACCGUGAGGGAAAGGCGAAAAGAACCCCGGCGAGGGGAGUGAAAAAGAACCUGAAACCGUGUACGUACAAGCAGUGGGAGCACCCUUCGGGGUGUGACUGCGUACCUUUUGUAUAAUGGGUCAGCGACUUAUAUUCUGUAGCAAGGUUAACCGUAUAGGGGAGCCGGAGGGAAACCGAGUCUUAAUUGGGCGUUAAGUUGCAGGGUAUAGACCCGAAACCCGGUGAUCUAGCCAUGGGCAGGUUGAAGGUUGGGUAACACUAACUGGAGGACCGAACCGACUAAUGUUGAAAAAUUAGCGGAUGACCUGUGGCUGGGGGUGAAAGGCCAAUCAAACCGGGAGAUAGCUGGUUCUCCCCGAAAGCUAUUUAGGUAGCGCCUCGUGAAUUCAUCUCCGGGGGUAGAGCACUGUUUCGGCUAGGGGGCCAUCCCGGCUUACCAACCCGAUGCAAACUGCGAAUACCGGAGAAUGUUAUCACGGGAGACACACGGCGGGUGCUAACGUCCGUCGUGAAGAGGGAAACAACCCAGACCGCCAGCUAAGGUCCCAAAGUCAUGGUUAAGUGGGAAACGAUGUGGGAAGGCCCAGACAGCCAGGAUGUUGGCUUAGAAGCAGCCAUCAUUUAAAGAAAGCGUAAUAGCUCACUGGUCGAGUCGGCCUGCGCGGAAGAUGUAACGGGGCUAAACCAUGCACCGAAGCUGCGGCAGCGAACGUAUCACC